GAUGAACGCUGGCGGCGUGCCUAACACAUGCAAGUCGAGCGAACGGACCAGACGCUUGUUUUUCUGAUGUUAGCCGCGGACGGGAGAGUCACACGUGUAUACCCUCCCUAUCAGACUGGUAUCACUUCGGGAAACCGGAGCUAAUCCCGGAUAAUAUUCUGAUCCGCAUUGUUCAAUAGUGAAAGACGGUCUUGCUGUCACUUCUCGAUGGAUCUGCGCUGCAUUAGCUAGUUGGUAAGGUAACGGCUUGUCAAGGCAACGAUGCGUAGCCGACCUGAGAGGGUGAUCGGCCACACUGGAACUGAGACGCGCACAAGACGCCUACGGGAGGCAGCAGUAGGGAAUCGGACGCAAUAGGCGAGAACAUGACGGAGCGGCGCGACGUCAGAGGUGGAGGUCUUGGGAGCGGGAGGAUGUGUUUUGGGGGAAGAACAUAUGUGGAAGGAGAUGAGGACAGAGUGACGGUAACUAGUAAAAAAGCAACGGCUAACUACGUG
rnacentral:rRNA from 1 species